AUGGAGAGAUGUGUGUUACUUGUUAUGUGGCUCCCUAAAAAGAAACAUUACCAGUUAGAGGGACUUCAAGUAACUGAGGCCACCAAUUUCUACUUUCGCUCUACUUUUUCUGGGAGUGGAACGGUCAGGUUUGCCAGUAUUGUGAAAAUCCAUGAGGAAGCAUUACUUCUCUCUUCCACUUGCCUCAUUCUGAGUGGAACCCCAGAACCUGGUGUAGGGCUUAAUAAUCCAAGAAAUUAUUUUGAGUGGAGAAUCUCUCACUCUCUGGCUCUUUUCUCCCAAUAGUAACAAUAAUAAUGCCUCACUUGUUAAGAGAUACCGUGGUUAUUGAAGUAUUUUCUCAGCAAACAGAUACUUCAUGUUUGGGUGUAUUAAUGUAGGAAGAUAAAGACACACAUGCAGUGUUUCCUAAACUUUUUGGCUCACAUGCUUCUUUGCUCAUGCACAACCUAGACAAAACUAUGUAACCAACUCCUGUGUACAGUUUCACGGAAUUGCAGGGAGGUGCCCAAUAAAUACCGAGAGACGAACGGAACCGCUGAAUCCCGUCCGCGAGGUUAGGGGAGAAACAGAAGCGGCAACGUCUCUGCUGCACGAAGCACCCGAUCCACACCAUUAGUAAACCCCAUCAAUUUUGCCUUCAGAAUAUAUCCAGAUUCUUCCCAAUUCUACCGCCACCAUUCUGGUUCAAGCUACCUG
ensembl:lncRNA ZNF451-AS1 ZNF451 regulatory antisense RNA 1